GUACGAUCGAUGUCUUAUAUGCAUUGAGGGUUUAUUUGAAAGAAAAGUAGAGCCCACAUAUACAUAAAUCUUCUACAUGACACAAACACAAUUGCUUAAGAAAUACAUACACAUAAUACACAGGAAAACACAAUGGAAAUGGAAGGCCUAAAACCAAAUACAGAAAGUAAAACAAACUUUAACUAACAUCAUAAUUAAGUUAACAACUAAGAAAGCCAAAUUAAGUGAGAGUGCCGCAGGAUCAUGAGGAUAAUAACCUUACAUAAUUAGUGAUUAAUUAUGACGAUCAUCACUUCUUCAAGAAUCCCUGAGCCACCUUAAGAUAAUCACCAAACCCACCUGAUCCACCCUCCUCCUCCUCCUCAUCCUUUUUACCAUGUUUCUUCUUAGUCUCAUGCUCUCCGCUCACCGGAUAGUUCUCAUCAUCGUCUCUUCUCUCCUUCCCCACACCAUGCUUAUGAGACUCGGAAGAGUAGUGGCCUCCUCCUCCAGAGUUAUGAGACUCAGAAGAGUAGUGGCUUCCUCCUCCGCCGCUUCCGCCGCCGCCGCUGCCGUACUUGUGAAGCAUAUCCUCAGCCCUUCUAACAUAACUCCCAAGUCCUUCUUUCUCGUCCAGCUUCCCAUAGUGCGCGGCAGCGCUUAGGAUGUUACUAGCAGCCUCCGAAACCCUAGCUCUGUCGAUCUUUUCCCCGCCGCCUUUGUUCAUCGAAGAUUUGGCUGCUUCCGCCACAAUCUUGGCACUAGACAUCAGCUCGCUCGUCGUCGGUGCAGCAUGUCCCGGCUUCCCGUAGUGGCCCUCCG
rnacentral:lncRNA from 1 species